GAUAAAGCGGGUGAAAAGCCCGCUCGCCGGAAGACCAAGGGUUCCUGUCCAACGUUAAUCGGGGCAGGGUGAGUCGACCCCUAAGGCGAGGCCGAAAGGCGUAGUCGAUGGGAAACGGGUUAAUAUUCCCGUACUUGGUGUUACUGCGAAGGGGGGACGGAGAAGGCUAUGUUGGCCGGGCGACGGUUGUCCCGGUUUAAGCGUAUAGGUGUGUGUUCCAGGUAAAUCCGGUUCACUUUAACACUGAGGCGUGAUGACGAGGCGCUACGGUGCUGAAGCAACAAAUGCCCUGCUUCCAGGAAAAGCCUCUAAGCAUCAGGUAACAUCAAAUCGUACCCCAAACCGACACAGGUGGUCAGGUAGAGAAUACCAAGGCGCUUGAGAGAACUCGGGUGAAGGAACUAGGCAAAAUGGUGCCGUAACUUCGGGAGAAGGCACGCUGACAUGUAGGUGAAGUGAUUUACUCAUGGAGCUGAAGUCAGUCGAAGAUACCAGCUGGCUGCAACUGUUUAUUAAAAACACAGCACUGUGCAAACACGAAAGUGGACGUAUACGGUGUGACGCCUGCCCGGUGCCGGAAGGUUAAUUGAUGGGGUCAGCGCAAGCGAAGCUCCUGAUCGAAGCCCCGGUAAACGGCGGCCGUAACUAUAACGGUCCUAAGGUAGCGAAAUUCCUUGUCGGGUAAGUUCCGACCUGCACGAAUGGCGUAAUGAUGGCCAGGCUGUCUCCACCCGAGACUCAGUGAAAUUGAACUCGCUGUGAAGAUGCAGUGUACCCGCGGCAAGACGGAAAGACCCCGUGAACCUUUACUAUAGCUUGACACUGAACAUUGAGCCUUGAUGUGUAGGAUAGGUGGGAGGCUUUGAAGUGUGGACGCCAGUCUGCAUGGAGCCGACCUUGAAAUACCACCCUUUAAUGUUUGAUGUUCUAACGUGGACCCGUAAUCCGGGUUGCGGACAGUGUCUGGUGGGUAGUUUGACUGGGGCGGUCUCCUCCUAAAGAGUAACGGAGGAGCACGAAGGUUGGCUAAUCCUGGUCGGACAUCAGGAGGUUAGUGCAAUGGCAUAAGCCAGCUUGACUGCGAGCGUGACGGCGCGAGCAGGUGCGAAAGCAGGUCAUAGUGAUCCGGUGGUUCUGAAUGGAAGGGCCAUCGCUCAACGGAUAAAAGGUACUCCGGGGAUAACAGGCUGAUACCGCCCAAGAGUUCAUAUCGACGGCGGUGUUUGGCACCUCGAUGUCGGCUCAUCACAUCCUGGGGCUGAAGUAGGUCCCAAGGGUAUGGCUGUUCGCCAUUUAAAGUGGUACGCGAGCUGGGUUUAGAACGUCGUGAGACAGUUCGGUCCCUAUCUGCCGUGGGCGCUGGAGAACUGAGGGGGGCUGCUCCUAGUACGAGAGGACCGGAGUGGACGCAUCACUGGUGUUCGGGUUGUCAUGCCAAUGGCACUGCCCGGUAGCUAAAUGCGGAAGAGAUAAGUGCUGAAAGCAUCUAAGCACGAAACUUGCCCCGA
rnacentral:rRNA from 1 species